rnacentral:lncRNA from 1 species
UCGGCAGGUAACAAGACCUUGAGGCACACCGUGGGCGGGGCUUAACGGACCAGGAUUGGUCCUUAUUGGUCAGGAUGUGUCUGGAGUGAUGUUCGCAGGCUGUUAUGCUGAUGUAUUCAGUACGGACACGCUGAUGGAGUCUUUGGAGCGACGGCUACAGAGGCCUUUGUUGGCCAAAUCCAGGACAUUACCCAGCAUCCCUCAGUCCCCCGCCGCCAUCCGCGUGCAGCAGUCGGAGAAAGUUUGUGAACGUCAACAGCGCCCACAUGUUCCUUCCAGCCCUGGUGGUCUUGAAGCAUGUACGCUGCCUCCUGCAGGCGAGAUGUGGCGGCUGGAAGAUGAAAACGAGGCCGAAGUCGCUCCGGGUGCCGUCGACCCGCGGCCGCGCUCUCAGUCGCCGUUCUCACAUUUCCGGCGGCGGGCGGCAUAUCUGAGGAAAAGCAUCUCGGC